UGUAACCAUAAACAACCACUACAAUGUAGCAACUUAGAGUUUCCUAUUUUAUAUUGGAGCUCUGUAACAUUUGACCAUUUUUGUAAGAGUUUCAUGAUUUCAAGGAUGAUUAUUAGCAUUUUCAAUUUUUUGGCCAAUUCUGGGUGCUGGUAAUGUUACCACUGCAGGCAACUAUGGCUCUACUCAACUGAAGACCUCUUAUAGGCAAUGUGGACCAUACCUGCUUUCCUACCUGAGAGAUCAGCAAAUUGGGUUUGGUCAUCAGUAAAUUCUGUCUCUCAGAUCUCAUACUAGCAAGGAGACCCCUGGUUGUACCUGUCAGAGCUGCCAGUUGGCCCUGCUGAAACUUUAGAACUGCACCAAUGUCUAAGACUUUCAUCCUCCUUCCUUCACACAGGAAGUAUCUCCAGGACAUUCCAGCCUGUUGCACAGGCCAAAGAAAAGCCCUCAGGCAGAGGAGCAAGUACUUGCAAGAGGACACCAGUGGCAAGAACAGGGACAUGCCACCCUGUGAAGACGUGCCUUUCGUCAAGAUUGUAAGUUUCCUAAGGCCUUCCCACCCAUGCGGAACUG